GUGGGUAUAGCUCAGUGGCAGAGUGUGUGCUUAGCAUGCAAGAGGUCCUGGGUUCAAUCCCCAGCACCUCCG
rnacentral:tRNA from 1 species